rnacentral:rRNA from 1 species
CACGUAGGGGGCGAGCGUUGUCCGGAUUUAUUGGGCGUAAAGAGCUCGUAGGCGGCUCAGUAAGUCAGGUGUGAAAACUCCAGGCUCAACCUGGAGACGCCAUCUGAUACUGCUGUGGCUAGAGUCCGGUAGGGGAGCAUGGAAUUCCUGGUGUAGCGGUGAAAUGCGCGGAUAUCAGGAGGAACACCAGUGGCGAAGGCGGUGCUCUGGGCCGGAACUGACGCUGAGGAGCGAAAGCGUGGGGAGCAAACAGG